rnacentral:sRNA from 1 species
UUAUAUUCCCUAUGAAUACAUGGCAGUUCUGAGAUCUAAAGUUAUCAACAAUCUGAAAAAGCCUUUUUCUAUAUUUUAAUAAUUUCUUUAUAAAAUAUUAUUUAUCUUGAAUUUGGCAAAUUUAGAUGAAAGCCUAUAUGCUUGUUGAUGUUUACAUUUCUAGUAAAAGAACACUUCUGAUCUUUUACUGUAAUUCUACUCUAAAUGCCUAUAUUUUAAAAGUUAUUAUUCUCAUAUUUAAGGUAGGUGAACUUUUUUUCUAGUUGUAAAUAUUUAAGAUAUGAUGAAUUUCUCAUGGUACAUUAUUUUCCCUCCCAUCCCACUACCUGUUUUAAAAUACAGAUUAAAUCGGAUUUCUUUGAACUAUUAUCUAAUCAUCACUUGGACAGUCAGUCUCGAUGGAGCAAAGUAAAAGACAAAGUAGAAAGUGAUCCACGUUACAAAGCAGUAGAUAGUUCAUCAAUGAGAGAAGACCUUUUCAAACAGUACAUUGAAAAAAUAGCCAAGAAUUUAGACUCAGAAAAAGAAAAGGAGCUUGAAAGGCAAGCCCGCAUUGAGGCAAGCCUUCGAGAACGAGAAAGGGAGGUUCAAAAGGCCCGUUCAGAACAAACGAAAGAAAUAGAUCGAGAGAGAGAGCAGCACAAACGAGAAGAAGCUAUCCAGAAUUUCAAAGCUCUUCUGUCUGACAUGGUAUACGUUAAUCUUUUACUUUUUUUCUCUAAAGUACUGGAUAUUGGAAAUUUAUUAUAUUACUGUUAUGAAUAUUUUAAUGUUCUUUAAUUCUGAGGGAGAUAAUUUGCUAAAUUAGAAAGCAUUUAAAAAUUGAAUACUUGGUAUUAGUACUGUUAGUAUAGGAAAAAACCCAAGUUAUUUAACAAAUUCAGAA